rnacentral:misc_RNA from 1 species
UACAAUCCUAAAGAGAUAAAUAAAACUGUUGGCUUAAAUUAUGAAUGUAUAUGAAGACCUAUAUGAACAUAAAACAAUUAUGAUAAAGAAAAAUGUUAACCGACCAAAUUUUAAAAGAAUAAUCAUUUCUUUCUUCUUCUUCUCUCUCUCUCUCUCUCUCUCUGUCUCCUUUUCAAUAAUUAAAUUAUUUUUAAAAGUACAUUGAUAAACAAAGCACACAUGGCCACGUAUUCAAUCCUAUUCAAGUAAGUUUAUAUUUCAGUUUUCUCACCCUAUAUUUAUUAUAUUUAAAAAAUGAACAAAAAGUUAUUAUGUAUUAAAGUUACCUUAAGUUUCUUGGAAAAGCAUAAGAUUGUACUAAUGUCUUAAUAAUCUAGAUAUGAAGGACAUUACCUUCUAUGCUGUUUAAGUUAUAUUAUAUAUAAAGCUUUUUACAGUUCUUUAUAGUUUAUAGUCAUACGUAUAGAUAUAGAAUAUAAAGUAAUUUCAUUAAAAAACCUCAUAUUUAAAACGAUAUUUUUAAAACUAAAGCUAAUAAUAAAAAUUAUACUCGUUUGUAUUAGGAAAUUUUAAUCCGAUAACGGUCAAAUUUCUUGAUCGUGCUGCCUUAAAUGACGAUUUCAAACAAGUUUGUUUUAUUACACUCAAAGGCUCCAUGCCAUUCUACAAUAUGUUAGUGUAGUGCCACCCUAUAAAGGGUUGGAUUAUCGCUAGGGGAUUAUCCGCAAAUGAAUUGGCUUGUAGCCCAAGUGAUUGUACAUUUCACAAAAGAGUCUAUUAAUAGUAGAGUUCUAUUGGAAAUUAGCUGUAAUUACUAUAUUUAUACCGCAAUUAUAGAUGGCAGUAGCUGAUAUAAAACUUCAUACCUUCUAAGAGAAAAAAACGACCUCUGCCUGGUCCUAUAAGCAUUAAACGUUUCAUAAUUUUCGGGGGAGAACCAAUCAUCCAAUUUAAAAGAGCCAAGUUGGCUAUGACUCUUUCUUAAGGACAUUCUUGAAAACUUAAAAUUAAUUUGCCCUUCCAUUGAAAAGUAAAGAUUAUAGUAAUCCAUUUCCCAUACAAAAAGAUUAUAAAGGACAAUUUUAGACAUAAGAUGGCGCUUUUUUAUUAAAGAAUUUAAAUUAAAUUAAAUUUGUUUUUAACAGAAUAGGCUUAUUGAUAAAGUUAGGCUAAUUUUUUUCAAUAUUAGUCAAACUAUUUCCCAAACAAGAAACACGUAGAGACGUCAAUAAAUCGAUCACCCUGGCGACUAAUUUAUUCAGAAAGAUGUAGGAGUGAGUUCACAGCGCCCCUGGUGGCGUUAGGGACGGAUACCAUGAAUUGAAAGGGAGCAAAUAUAAUGAUCGAUUCAGUCCAGUAAUGACGGAGGAGGAUAAAUCUAAAACUCCUGGCGAUAAUGGUUCAGGACGAGGACGAAGUUUCGGCAAAUGGAGAAAAGUAAAAAAGGAUCCUAAAUUAGAAAAAGUAACAGAGGAGAACUCGAACGAUUUCUUUGGAGUUAAAAGUUAUUUACACCACUUCUACGAUACUAUUCACACAUAUAAAGAUCCAGAUGUUUACGAAGAUGAUGAUUUAAAACUUCUUUUGAAAGAAAAUGCAACACGAAGGCGUCGGUGUAUAAGUUCUAUAUGGUGGAAAGUUUUCGUUUGGAUUGGCGCAAACCUAUUAAUCUUUGGCAUUGUUGGAGUUCUAGUUGGCUAUUUAGUUCCCCAAAAAACCGUUAUAGUAGCCGAAACUGAAGAUGAUUAUGACAUACUAGAUAAUCAAGCCAUCAAUUUCAAUAUGAAUCUUGAUGUUUGCAAAUUAGUCGGAUUGAUCUUGUUUUGCAUUGGAGGUUUAACGUUAACGGUAGCGCUAUUAGUGCCUACGAUAGUGGUACCAAGGCAGGAGCCGCCUCCCCCUGAUCUCGAUACAACGUUAACAUCAUUCUCCGAUUAUCAGGAUCAACCGAGAAGUCCUCCUCCAGUCCCAGUCGAUUCUUUAACUACUGUCAAGCAGGUUCAACCGGCUAGGAAGGAGCAAGAAUCAGUUGCCACCCAAGCAGCUGGUAUGGUUCCGUUGGCUGCUUCGGUCACACAAUAGUGCGACAAAAAUAUCAAUGUCGUAUCAUUUUAAUUAUUGUCGUCUGCUUUAAAUCAAAUUAAAAAUAUAUUUUUUUUCGGAGUGAAUGUCAGCCCGCAAUGAAUAACUAAAAGUCUCCAAUUCCUUUAUCUUAGAAACUGUCAAUUUUACUGAGCUAUAGCAAAACUAUAAUCUAUUUUUAAAAACUUUCUAAUUACUAAUUAUUAUUAUUAAUAUAAAUGUUAAAGUAAUAGUAUAGGAAACUGAAUGCUAAAUGAUAUCUUGAAAAGGGAGCUGUACCGU